AAACCGGCUCUUUUUAGAGCCACCAAAUAUUCAAGAAAGAAAUGUUU
rfam:Strongylocentrotus purpuratus Contig107862_fixed, whole genome shotgun sequence.